GGGGUUUCACCGUGUUAGCCAGGAUGGUCUUGAUCUUGUGACCUCGUGAUCCGCCUGUCUCGGCCUCCCAAAGUGCUGGGAUUACAGGCUUGAGCCACCGCGCCCAGCCGAGAGUUAUGUUUUAGAAAUGAAACUCUUCGGGGUCUUGUUUGGGGUGAGUAAUUAGUGAAGAAAAGAACCAAGUUAAUAUAUUUUUUUUUCUCAAACAUCCUGAUCUUUGACUUUUAUCUUUUUUUUUUUUUUAAACUGACAAGUUACUUCUCUUUCAGGCUCCAAGCUUGAUAUAGAAGACUAUCAUACCCAGAGAGGGUAACUGAAACGAAAGAAAUUACUCCAGCAUCAAGCUAAAGACACGCCUUAAAGGAUGAGGAGGAGCAGAAAUCUUACCAGCAAGGCCAGAAAGAAGCUGUGCAUGAACAGCCUCUACUUUAGGCUCAGAAGGAAAAGAAGUUUACAGGAGACAAUCACUCUUAUACUCUUCCAUGGUCACAAACAAGAGGUCCCUGGAUCUGUAGGUGAGCAAGAGGUGAUCUGGGAUUUGGAGUCGGUACUGCAUUCUGAAUUCCCUGGCACAAUUAAAAGGCAAUAGAGCUAACAGUAGAAUCACCAAUUAUC
rnacentral:lncRNA from 1 species